rnacentral:rRNA from 1 species
GACGUAGGGUGCGAGCGUUGUCCGGAUUUAUUGGGCGUAAAGAGCUCGUAGGCGGUUCGUUGCGUCAGCUGUGAAAACCCAGGGCUUAACUGUGGGCUUGCAGCUGAUACGGGCGGACUAGAGUUCGGUAGGGGAGACUGGAAUUCCUGGUGUAGCGGUGAAAUGCGUAGAUAUCGGGAGGAACACCUGUGGCGAAGGCGGCCCCCUGGUUGGAUACUGACGCUGAGACGCGAAAGCGUGGGGAGCAAACAGG